UACAGAGGGUGCGAGCGUUAAUCGGAAUUACUGGGCGUAAAGCGUGCGUAGGCGGGAUGGCAAGUCGGUCGUGAAAUCCCUCGGCUCAACUGAGGAGCGUCGAUCGAAACUGCCGUUCUUGAGGGUUGCAGAGGAGACUGGAAUUCCCGGUGUAGCGGUGAAAUGUGUAGAGAUCGGGAGGAACACCGGUGGCGAAGGCGGGUCUCUGGGCAACUCCUGACGCUGAGGCGCGAAAGCGUGGGGAGCAAACGGG
rnacentral:rRNA from 1 species